UACGUAGGGUGCAAGCGUUGUCCGGAAUUAUUGGGCGUAAAGAGCUCGUAGGCGGUUUGUCGCGUCGGCUGUGAAAACCCGGGGGCUCAACCCCCGGGCCUGCAGUCGAUACGGGCAAACUAGAGUGCGGUAGGGGAGACUGGAAUUCCUGGUGUAGCGGUGAAAUGCGCAGAUAUCAGGAGGAACACCGGUGGCGAAGGC
rnacentral:rRNA from 1 species